rnacentral:rRNA from 1 species
CCUAUGGGAGGCAGCAGUGAGGAAUAUUGGUCAAUGGGCGAGAGCCUGAACCAGCCAAGUCGCGUGAGGGAAGACGGUCCUACGGAUUGUAAACCUCUUUUGUCAGGGAGCAAGGAGCGCCACGAGUGGUGCGGCGAGAGUACCUGAAGAAAAAGCAUCGGCUAACUCCGUGCCAGUAGCCGCGGUAAUACGGAGGAUGCGAGCGUUAUCCGGAUUUAUUGGGUUUAAAGGGUGCGCAGGCGGAAGCGGCAAGUCAGCGGUAAAAUUGCGGGGCUCAACCUCGCCGAGCCGUUGAAACUGCUCUUCUAGAGUGGGCGAGAAGUAUGCGGAAUGCGUGGUGUAGCGGUGAAAUGCAUAGAUAUCACGAGGAACCCCGAUUGCGAAGGCAGCCUGCCGGGGUGCGACUGACGCUGAGGCUCGAAGGUGCGGGUAUCAAACAGGAUUAGAUACCCCGGUAGUC